UACGUAGGGCGCAAGCGUUAUCCGGAAUUAUUGGGCGUAAAGAGCUCGUAGGCGGUGUGUCGCGUCGGCCGUGAAAACCUGCAGCUUAACUGUGGGCGUGCGGUCGAUACGGGCAUCACUGGAGUUCGGCAGGGGAGACUGGAAUUCCUGGUGUAGCGGUGAAAUGCGCAGAUAUCAGGAGGAACACCGGUGGCGGAGGCGGGUCUCUGGGCCGAUACUGACGCUGAGGAGCGAAAGCGUGGGGAGCGAACAGG
rnacentral:rRNA from 1 species